CGCCAGCAGCCGCGGUAAUACGGAGGGUGCAAGCAUUAAUCGGAUUUAUUGGGUGUAAAGGGCGCCUAGGCGGGAAAACAAGUCAGGUGUGAAAUUUCGCAGCUCAACUGCGAAGCAGCACUUGAAACGGUUUUUCUUGAGGAUGGUCGGAGAAAGUAGAAUUCCACAAGUAGCGGUGAAAUGCGUAGAUAUGUGGAAGAAUACCAGUGGCGAAGGCGACUUUCUAGAUUAAACCUGACGCUGAAGCGCGAAAGCAAGGGGAGCAAACAGGAUUAGAUACCCUGGUAGUCCUUGCCGUAAACGAUGCACACUAGGUGUCGCUGGCUUCAACCCCAGCGGUGCCGGAGCUAACGUGUUAAGUGUGCCACCUGGGGAGUACGCCCGCAAGGGUGAAACUCAAAAGAAUUGACGGGGGCCCGCACA
rnacentral:rRNA from 1 species